CCGCGGCAUUUAUCAAGGGCAGGUAUUGCGUACACCUGGAUUUUAAAGGUACGCACAGCUUCAUAAAUCAGGCUGUGAGAGGAGUGUAAGCAAAAUCUUAGGCCAACAUAUACACCCAUUUCUACGCAAGAAUGAUAAAUGAGGGCCAGUAAGAGGAUGUUAAAGUAAAGGGUGUAUGCAAAAAUUAAGGGACCUCAGACUGAACAAACAGCAAGAGAAAAAGGGUGGGUCUUUAAAUUUGAGUUAGUUGUCAAUGAUGGAACUGGACUUCAUGUGGGAUGGGAAACUAUUCCGGAGCAUGUGAGCAGCAACAGACAAAGCUAGGCUACAUCAUCCAUCCUGGAGGGUGGGUUCUUGCUUCUUCCAAAUAUACCAAAUAGUUUAUUUAAAAGUUUAAAAGGUGGAAUAAAAGGCGCCCACAAAAACAAAAUAUGGACCCAAAUUACGAGUGCUGUUAAUAGUGUGGGGGUUGAGAAGCACACUCCAGCAGAGGUGAAAAAAAGUGGUCUGAUUCAAAGAUCGCCACAAAGAGGCGCGUCUCGGCACUAAAGAGGAGCCAGAGUCAGACUGGGGGAGGCCCACCGGAUCCAAGUCUCCAGCUGACACCGAACGAGGAGCGUUAUAAGGCUGUUCUUAUGAAGCUGUUUGGAUGAGCAAAUGAUCACAAUGCAUUUUACAGCACGCGUUUGAUACAAUUAGCAUUUCAUUUCGUAUCACGUCACAUGUAUUGGGGUGUUCAAUAGUGAUGAUGAUGUGAUGUGGAGUACCAUUCAUUCACAUUAAUAAUUGCAUGACAAUUUGUAAUAUUCGUCUUAUUAUUUCAUGAUUUUUAUUAUUAAUGACGUUUAUUGUUAUUUAGAAGAAGAAUGUCGUUAUUAUUAUUAUUUAAAAGAAGAAUGUCAUUUUUAUUAUUUUGUCAGUCUGAAUUAUAUUUUGGUCAUUAAAAGCCUUUUAUUACUGAACCCAGUACGUGCGCAACUUCCGGGCCUAAAGCUUCGUUCACACCAGACACGGCAAUCUUUAUGCGUUCCGGCGGAAGUCCAUUCAUUUCAAUAGAAAGCAAUCCGCACCGCUGCGUUUAAUCUACCGUACUCGGCCAGAUUUGGUUGCGGUAAGGCAGGUGUGUCGCAUGAGUUGAAAUUUUCCAACUUGUGCGGUGCUUUUCUGUACGGUAUCAGAAACGGAAGUUGAUGUACCACAGAAGAAGAGCUAAUAUGUAGCUUUCAAUUACGGGUUUAUGGGAUCGCAAAAAUAGAUUUGACAGCUCAUUAAUUAUUUGUAAUAGCUUACCAGAUCAAAGUUUGAAACGCUAAAUAUUUGUGCGAGACAUAUCCUAGACCUGAUUGGUUAAAUCAUAUUUGAGGGAAAAUAUAUAUAUAUAUAUAUAUACAGCCUGGAUGACGUUUUCAUUUCAUCUACUACAAUGAAACAUAAACUGAGAAAGCUUCUGCUCAUGCUUGCAUGGCUACACUUUUCCACGCAGCAUUUUUAACAUUUAGGUCUCGGUAAACGUCCGAGGUAGUAUCAUACAAACAAGGGUGGCUAGACACUAGCAAAAUGAGGUUCUCCUCCGUCUUUGCGAUACUGGUUAUGGAGAUGCGGAAGAUUGAUUGCGUUUUUUGCGUAGAUUGAUUGCGAUGUUUGCGUUAAAUUACCGUACGGUAAUUUUAUGCCGUGUCUGGUGUCAACGAGGCUUAACCCUGAAACGUCAUGUAAAGCGCACAGGCUUGCAUCUGAAGGAAUACAUAUAAAUCAAAUGCUUUGGUAAAGUCACACAAAUUAAACAUUGAAGUCCAUGUUGCA
ensembl:lncRNA